ensembl:snRNA U6 U6 spliceosomal RNA
UACUCACUGCAGUAACACACUAAAAUUAGAAUGAUACAGAGAAGAUUAACAUGGCCCCUAAGCAACAAUAACACACGAAUUCAUGAAGUGUUCCAUAUUUUA